rnacentral:rRNA from 1 species
GAGUUUGAUCAUGGCUCAGGAUAAACGCUGGCGGCGUGCCUAAUGCAUGCAAGUCGAACGGUCUAGCUCGCAAGGGCUAGGUAGUGGCAAACGGGGUGAGUAACACGUGGGGAUCUGCCCAGUAGUGGGGAACAACUCCGAGAAAUCGGAGCUAAUACCGCAUACGGUCUGUGUCGAAGGACACGAGACUAAAGCUCGCAAGGGCGCUAUUGGAGGAACCUGCGGCUGAUUAGCUAGUUGGUGGGGUAAAGGCCUACCAAGGCGAUGAUCAGUAGCUGGUCUGAGAGGAUGGACAGCCACACUGGGACUGAGAUACGGCCCAGACUCCUACGGGAGGCAGCAGCAAGGAAUUUUCGUCAAUGGGGGAAACCCUGAACGAGCAACGCCGCGUGGGCGAAGAGUCUUCGGGAUGUAAAGCCCUUUUCCUGUGAAGAAAGAAAGACGGUAACAGGGAAUAAGCAUCGGCUAACUACGUGCCAGCCGCCGCU